AGCGAACGCUGGCGGCAGGCCUAACAUAUGCAAGUCGAGCGCCCAUAGCAAUACGGGAGCGGCAGACGGGAGAGUAACACGUGGGAACGCGCCCUUCGGUUCGGAAUAACUCAGGGAAACUUGAGCUAAUACCGGAUACGCCCUUACGGGGAAAGAUUUAUUGCCGAAGGAACGGCCCGCGUCCGAUUAGCUUGUUGGUGAGGUAAUGGCUCACCAAGGCGACGAUCGGUAGCUGGUCUGAGAGGAUGACCAGCCUCACUGGGACUGAGACACGGCCCAGACUCCUACGGGAGGCAGCAGUGGGGAAUAUUGGACAAUGGGCGCAAGCCUGAUCCAGCCAUGCCGCGUGGGUGAUGAAGGCCCUAGGGUUGUAAAGCCCUUUCGGCGGGAAGAUAAUGACGGUACCCGCAGAAGAAGCCCCGGGC
rnacentral:rRNA from 1 species